ensembl:lncRNA
GUGGGUCGGAUCGGCCCAAUGGCAGGGAGGGAGAGUCGGGCGGUGGGGAGGGCCUUCGGGGCAGAGUCCGGCCGGUGGUGGCGCCCUUCGCCCCGCCCAUAAUGGUGGCCGCCUCCGUGGCUGGUUAGGUAGUUUUGUUGUGUUCUGUGGCCGCUGAGGAAACAUAGGCUGAGGCUGGCGGUGUCACGAUGCCUCACCUCUGCAAAUAGAAUUGGCCUAUUUCCACGUUACUCUGGACUGUGACUCCUGAGAAAACAAUGCUGAUGACAGAGGUAUUUUUUGCUGCCUUCUACACAAGACUAAUAUGAUACAUCAGUGACUGCAGGGGAUGUUCUGGCAUAGCAAAGUUGGCAGGAGCAGAAUACCGUGGUAGUACUUUGCUGAAAGGUGGCAGUACAUUGUAGGAAACUCCAUUAGUGUGAUUUUUAUGUCCCACAUCAGCUCCACAGCAACACAUGAAGUGACAGGAGGGUACAAAAGAAAUAGGGUCCAGCUACUGGAGGCAGAAGGGCUGGCAUGAGAACAGGAAGGAAAGAAUAUGGUGGAGGAGCUGAGAAGCAUAAUGGAAUCAUUUCCUGAGGUAGAGCUGUUCUCAGGAGCACUGCUGUGAGAGAAGGAGCCGAAGUUUGUGGCCUACUCAUAGUGAGCACCUGCUUACUGCAGCAAACCACAUCCAAGAAAAGUAAAAAAAAUAAAAUAGAAAAUCGUGGCAAAAGGAAUACUGAAUGUUUAGCCAAAGGUGAAGGAAAGCCGGAGGCAGAGACUCAGUAGUCUGAAUGGUGCUGCUUUUUGUGCCUGUAAAGAAACUAAAUUUCUAGUAGGGCCCUCUGAUGUAGCGAGGAAUGGUCAUUAAGGACCUCUGUGAUAUAUUUUCCAGUACCAGAAUUGGAUGUUCAGUAAACCUGAUGGUGAAAAAGUACAUGUGAAGAAAAAACAUUAAUUAAAGAAUCAUCUUUUUCCCUUCUAUAAAAGAAGGUGCUGAAAUACACCUGUAUAUGACUGGGAGUAAGCCGAGUAAAAGGGACAAAUAAAGAGAACAAAUGUGAAAGCUAAGACAUAAGGACUUCUGUGAAGGUUGUCAGCGUGAGUCCUUCAAAACUGGGAAGCAGAAGCAUUUCACGUGGAAAAAAACACAGCUAAUGUGAUCUGGGAGAUGCAGCAGAAAAGGUCAACCAAGGGGCAGUACCAAAAGUAAAUCGGAGAGGAAGAGGAAGGAAUAAUCAUGAGAGAACUGAUGGCCAGGAGGAGUCAUUGUCACAGGCAGACACUCAUUGUAGUGUUUUGUAACUUUCUUCUCUUGUUCCAUAUGUUUUCAGCAUUCCAGUGACUUCAGACAGUGUAAGGUAGCUGAAAAAUACAAAACCGAAUAUAAAUUUGCAGUUGUAUGUGAUAUAAUUUCCAAAAAUAUCUUCAGUAUAAUACAGUAUGGUUAUUAUUCAAGUCAAGUGAGUUGCAUCAAAAUAACGUUUUCUUUCCUUAAAGAGGAAUGAAUUUGCUACAUUAGAGGUGGGUUUAUAUUAGGUCUCAUUAACUUUUGUUUAUUGCUUGAACUUUUGGAUGCUGUUUCUGUGAUUUGUGUACGUUCAUUUGAGGAAAGGCAAAUAUUUGUAAGAGUGAUGAGUAGAGCAAAUAUAUUGGAGCUGGAGCUUUAGUAACAGCACCUUCUAGGAUGAUUUGCAGUAUAAAAUAAUUACUGAGUGCUCCUGCAGAAAUGCUGUUCACUGGUGAAAGAGGCAUAAGCAAAAUUAUACUGCAAAGAAAAUAAGAGUAAUUCCAGAGUUUUGGGGUGAAAUAAAAUAUGAUAAAGGUAGUAAAAUAUUAUCCAUUUCUUUUGAAGUUUUGCCACUUAUCCAGGAGGUGACUGUUAGCAUUAGGA